rnacentral:misc_RNA from 1 species
GAUGAAGAACGUAGCGAAAUGCGAUAAGUAAUGUGAAUUGCAGAAUUCAGUGAAUCAUCGAAUCUUUGAACGCACAAUGCGCCCGUUAGCAUUCUAGCGGGCAUGCCUGUCCGAGCGUCAUUUCAACCCUCAGGGUCCCCGUUCCGGCGGGGAACCUGGUGUUGGGGAUCGGCCCGCCCCGCGCGGCGCCGUCCCCCAAAUUCAGUGGCGGUCUCGCUGCAGCCUCCCCUGCGUAGUAGUUACAACCUCGCAUCGGAGCUCAGCGCGGCCACGCCGUAAAACCCCCGACUUUCUGAACGUUGACCUCGGAUCAGGUAGGAAUACCCGCUGAACUUAAGCAUAUCAAUAAGCGGAGGA